GAACUUUGAAGAGAGAGUUCAAGAGUACGUGAAACCGUUCAGGGGUAAACCUGAGAAACCCAAAAGAUCGAAUGGGGAGAUUCAUCGUCAGCGUGGUUGGCUUCCGUGCGGUUCGCGAUGGCCGGGACCUCGGUCUCGCGUCACNCGUCCGCUGCGGUAUGUCCGGCUGCGUCGGCGUGCACUUCUCCCCUAGUAAGACGUCGCGACCCGUUGGGUGUCGGACCGAUGGCCGUUUGGUCGCCUGUCUCGUCGCGUUCACGCGUGCACGUGGCAGACCGAAAUGGUCGAGCGUCCGGCUGCCCGGAGGUAUAGAACGCUUAUCAACGGUAAUGAGCCGCAUUAAGUGCRUUCAGGCUCGUCGGCAGGCUCGUCUCGCCCGGAUUUAYGGACCUAGCGCCGUUGCCGGGUGCUUGGCGUGGCCYUUA
rnacentral:rRNA from 1 species